rnacentral:ncRNA from 1 species
CACCGUGAAGUGGAAUCCGAAGGAAGCCGGAGAGAUACGAUAAACCCUGACGGGCAAAGAUCCGGGCCGAAGAACAGAAAUCGCAUAUACGGCGGAGCAGAGGAAACGAGGCAGCAGGACAGGCGGAAAUCCCAUGCUCCCCGGACUCUGCCACGUAAAUCCAGUGCCUGCAUGGAAUGAAG